AGAGCCGUAUUUCAUACGCUGUCUAUAUCAUGCAGUUUAUCGUCAUGUUUUGGAACAUUCUGUCAGCUCAAGCUCCACAAUACAUUUACAUCUCUCAGAUUAUUGACUUAAAUGAAAUAUUUUGUAUACUUGUGAUUUCAACACUAUCCACUUCUGCUCUUCCUUCUGCCUCCUGAAGUCUCUUUAUGAAGUUUUUACUGAAAAAGAAAUUUCACAAGGAAACAAGAAAGAAAAAUAAAUUGUCUCAUGUGAAAAUGCCUACCAGAAAUUCUUCUGUGACUUAUCAGCACUUUUAUGCCCAACCAUACAACACUUACUCUGCAAUGCACAAAAUACAGUUACUCUAUCCAUGUAACUGGUCAUGUAACUGGUUUAAACCAUCCAGCUGCAGUCAAUGUGUUAAGUAAUGUAAACAUAGUUCUUUAAAUACAUAAUAAGCCCUGGUCUAACUUCCGACGUUUUUUAGAAAAACAAGUUGUGAUUCCUUAUCAGAAGAAGCGACAUUAAUUUUAGGAAGUGGUUAGCUGUUUGAUUACACUAUAAUAAGAAUCUCGCACAUAUUGUAAUAAGUUUUACAAACAUAACAUAUGUAGAUAUUUGACAAUGCACAUAAAAUUCCUGUGGUCCAAGAACGUAGGCAGAAGAACAUUUGUGGAGGUCAAGACAACUGAUAUAUUCCUAAAGUGAACAGAAAGUAAGGCACUAUUUUGUUCCUUAAAAAGUUCUUGGCCUUUAUCUAUGUUGAGAACGAUCUUUCAGCAGUGCAUGUUAGUAAUAUUGAAUUAUUUAAAUAAUAAUAAUUGUUUACUAAAAAAAGUAAUUGAAACCAUUGAAAAUUUGUAGGGGGUCCAGACCCCUUGAACCCCCUCGCUGGCUAUAUUCUUCUUACAAACUAAUUUACAUUCAUUACAGUGUAUAUCUAAUAUGCAACAAUUAUGUACUUAAUACUUAUGCAUAUUAAUAAAACAUUGCUUCAUGCAAAUCUAUUUUAAUAAACUAAUGAAAUAAACAAUAAAAAGAAGUGUAACACACAAAUACACGGUUAAGGUUUAGUUAUUGAUUGUUUUAAAUAUGAUAAUCCUUUCCUUGCCACAGUAAGGAUGAUAGUAAACAUGAUCAGGGAGUCAAGGAGGACUAGCCACUUGGAUAAAGGGUUAAACAAACUUUAAAUAAAUAAUUAUUAUUGUUUAAAUAAUUCAGUAUUACUGAAUUUAUUGCUGAAAGAUCGUUCACAACAAAGAAACAGGUCAAAAACUUUUUAAGGAACAAAAUGGGGCCUUACUAUUUGUCCACCAUAGUAAAAUAGUUGUCUGGACCCUCUCGCCCCCAAAAAAGAUCUUUUCCUGGCUACGUUCU